rnacentral:rRNA from 1 species
GUCCUUUUGAACUUAAUAUAAGGUCUAACCUGCCCACUGAUUUUUUAAAGGCCGCAGUAUCCUAACUGUGCAAAGGUAGCAUAAUAAUUAGUCUUUUAAUUGAAGGCUGGAAUGAAUGGUUGGACGAGGUAUUUUCUGUUUCAUAGAAAUUUAUACAAGAACUUUAUUUUUCAGUAAAAAAGCUGAAAUAAAUUUAAAAGACGAGAAGACCCUAUAAAGCUUUACAUCCCCUAGAAUUUUUAAAAAAAGAAUUUUUUUUAUAAAUUUUUCCCGGGUGUUUUAUUGGGGUGAUAUUAAAAUUUAAGAAACUUUUAACUUUAAAUACAAUAAUUAGUGAAAUAUUUGAUCCGUUUAAACGAUUAAUAAAUUAAGUUACUUUAGGGAUAACAGCGUAAUAUUUUUGGAGAGUUCAUAUCGAUAAAAAAGAUUGCGACCUCGAUGUUGGAUUAAGGAAUAAUUUUAG